AGCGCCGCGGUAAGACGUAGGUCCCGAGCGUUGCCCGGAUUUACUGGGCGUAAAGUGCGCGUAAGCGGUUCGGCAAGUCGUCCGUGAAAGCCCGGGGCUCAACCCGGGAGGCCGGGCGAGACUGCCGGGCUAGAGGAGGCAAGGAGGGUGGACGGCCGGAGUACGGUGAAAUGCGUAGAUCCGGCCGAAAUCCCGAUGGCGAAGGCAACCCUCUGGGCCGUUCCUGACGCUGAGGCGCGAAAGCGUGGGGAGCGAACCGGAUUAGAUACCCGGGUAGUCCACGCCCUAAACGAUGCGGGCUAGGUGUCGGGGGGUAUCCCUCGGU
rnacentral:rRNA from 1 species